rnacentral:tRNA from 1 species
GCCUUCGUGGUGUAAUGGUACAGCACACUCGGCGCGUAUUCCAGAGGUCCGUGGUUCGAGUCCUGGAGAAGGCA